CUGUCCUCAUAGUUACUAGUUGGAUUUGUUACCACUGAGCCACCAUGGGAACUCCCUGCAGUCAGAUUCUUAACCCGCUGCACCAUAACAGAACUCCUAGGCCAGUUAUUUUAAAGAAUGUCUCAGAUGGUUUGUGUGUGAUGUUUUCAUGUGUUUUGAUUCAGAUUGCAUAUCUUCUGUGAUAUUCAGGAAUAGCCCAGAAGCGAUGCUAGGUUUGUAGGCACACAGUAUCAGCUUAGACAGAAUCUGGGAUUAGGUGAUGUUACACUGAUCACUUGACUAUGGCGGUAUCUGUUAGCUUCUCUAUCACAUUAUUACAUUUUUCCUCAUUAUAGUUAUUAUUUCAUGGGUAGCUUUAUAGUGAGGAACUGAAGCUCUUGCCAACAGCCAUGUGUGUGAGCUUGGAAACAAAUUCUCUAGCUCUUCAAAUGUCUGCAGCCCUGGCUGAAAACUUGACCGCAACAUAAGCUGCUUCCAGAUUCCUGACCCUCAAAACUGUGUGAGGUCUUCAGCUCAAAGGACUGUUCUCAAGGAGCUAUGCUCAAGGAACUGCACCUAGAAAGCUUCAUCCACAUCUGAGCCUGGUUGAGAUGACAAGAUUCUAGCCUUUGAAAUGAUGCUGUAAUGGGUUGAAACUUUUGGUGGCUUUGAGGUGUGAGUAUCAUUUACCUGUGGGAGGGAGAUUAGUCAAUGAGAGAUAGAGGAUAGACUCCUGGGUCAACCUUCAAUAUGGUGCUCAAGUAAUUCUUGCUUCUUGGUAUUCACGCCCCUGUGUAGUCCUUCCUUCCCCACAUUGGCUUGUAUAAUCAAUAGCAUAUUAUGGAAAUGACAAUACGUGGUUCCUAAGACCAGGACAUAAAAGAUAAUUGCGGCUUCUGCCUUGCUCUCUCUUGGACAACUCACUCUUGAAGAAGUCAGAGAUCAUGUCAUUUCAUGAGGACACUCCAGCUGCCCUAAUGACAGAGCCAUGUGGUAAUGAUCUGAGCCAGCAUGAACUUGACUGCCAUGUAAGUGAGCCAUCCUAGAGGCAAAUCCUGGAGGCGGCUCCAGUCAAGCUUUCAGAGGACUGUAGAUAUAGCUGAGAUUUUACCCAUAACCUCGUAAGAGACACUAAACCAGGAUUACCCAGCUAAGCUGCCCUUAAAUUCCUGAGCCACAGAAACUGUGAAAGAUAAUAACUGUUUGUUGUUGUUUUCAGCCACUAGAUUUGGGGGUAAUUUUUUUUUUUUUUUAUAAAGCAACGGACAACUAAAACAGUAAACUACAAUCUCAUUAUAAGGCAAAAGUUGAAAUGACUGCUUAAAAAUGUUAUGUUUUUUGACUGCAUCAAUUGAACAAAGGUUCCAUGUCAGAGAUGGUAAUAGUUCACUUCUAGACUUAUAACAAUUUAAGAUAUUGUAUGUAGUUUGAGUCAUAUACUUUGAAAGACACUGGCAAACACAAUGAGAGCACUAAGGACUAUCAGGAUAGCGAAGACUUAACAAACUAUAACAUGAAGAGUACAUGAGAACACCUGGUGAAAAUCUGAGUAGACUAGGGAUGACAUGACAUCUGUACAUGUGUUUAAAGCAUUAGCACAAGAAACAUGUAAUGGCAUAGCCUCUCUUCCUUCCAAGGGGAGAAACGAAGAAAAGGCUACAAGUUAUAUAACAGUAGAUUUUAAAUAACACAGAGAAGUAUUUUUUGAGGCUUCCAGUUAUCUAACAAAAGAAUGAUUUCUUCAUUGGAAGAGUUGAAACACAGGCUAGAUUAUCACCUAUAAAAAAUGUAGUACAGAAAAAUUCUGGACUAGGAUGUUGGAUAAACUUCGCAAAAUGUCACUAGGCUACUUUCCAAUCUGAUCUAAGAUAUAUUUAUUCAGUUACCUUCAAUAAACAGCAAAUUUCUAGGAACUCCCUUACACAAACCUUCAAAGUCUUGUAGAAGUUUCAUCAGACAACACAAUAGAUAUUUUGCAGAUCCUUGAAAUGUAAUUAGUAUUUUCCCAGUUACGUGCGCAUCUAAGAAACAAAGCAGAAAGACAACUACAGAAGGAAGAUACCACUUAUUCCCUUGUUCUGAAGAUUAAAAAAAAAAAACCCAAACUUUUCUGGGGUAGAUGCAUUUUCUAAAGCUAAGAUUCCGAUUCAGUUUUGGCCUCAUUUUAAAGAAGAAUGUUGUGGAUUAGAUUGAUUUGUAAGAUUUAAAGACAACUUGCAUAUCAAAGUGCAAAGACGGUAAGCAUAAUUCAUUUUCUUCUAUGAGAGUCAUUUCAUUCUCUACUAUUUGAGAAACAUCUGCAGGAUCCAUUAUGCGCCACACAUGUAAGAGUUAAGCUUUCAAUCAACCAAGCAAAGUCAUAUAAUUGUUGAUGACAGAGUCAGGAAAAGAUCUGGGGAUUCUUAAUUCUUAAAGUAAUAUAUUUUUGAGGUCUCUUAAGAACUGUAUUAUUUUUUCUAGAUAAUAAAAAUAAAAAAACUACAAAGGAGGUACAAAUUAUUAUGUAUAAAGUAAAUAAGCUACAGGAAUAUAUUGUACGGCACAAGGAAUACAGCCAAUAUUUUAUAAUAAUCUUAAAUGGGGUAUAAUUAUAAAAAUAUUGAAUCACUAUGUUGUAUACCUGAAACUAACAUAAUAUUGUAAAUCAACUAUCCUUCAAUAAAACAAAAAGCAAAAAAAUUAGAAUAUGAGUUGAUGUCAUCUUUAAAAGAUAUCUUAAGAAUUAUUGCUAGGAAAAUAUUUGCAAUUAUAAAAACAACAUACCUGUAAUACUUUAUUUAUUAGAUAAUUUUGUCUAAUGUAACAAUAUUUCUAUAAACAAAAUUGUGGAAAACAAAACUAUACUUCUUUUCAGUUGUCUCUGAAGUUAUUAAAGAAUUUUUCUCAGUUUUACUGUCUAUAAAUUGGGAUUAAUAUUUAUACAGAGCAUAUAUGAAUGUUAUACAAACUCUGAUUUAUCUUUUGUGCUUUGAAGAUGAAGAUUAUAAUUGUGAAAUACUUUAAAAAUAGUUUCAUUUCUCAAAUUUAUUAAGACAGUGAUCUGUGUUCACUGAAUAAUGCACAUUAAAAUGCCAACCUUAAGUCUGAAGUAAACAUUUUUUUUUUUUUUUUUUUUGAUGUUACGCAGGCUCGGGGUCCUGAGAUCCUCCCAGGGAAUGUGAAAGCCCCUUCUCAGGUUGCUGUCUUAGAAAAAUCUCAUGUUCAAGAUCUUUUCUUAUCAUUGAUCCUCCAGGCUUAGCCUCCCAAGUUAUUUUUCCAUCAUCAUUAUUUUUAUUUUAUAUUACCAGUAUAGAUUAAGUAGAAAAAUAUAUAAGGCAAAGUAUUCAUAAAUACAUCAACAUUUAAACAUGGAUACUUGCCUUUCAAAGUCUUAGUUAAUAUGCCAAGAUUUUUAGAUUUUAUUUCAAAGUUCUUAAGUUCUUUGCUAAGGGAGGAUGUCUGCUUUUUUCACUUUUUACAAAAUUGUUUCUAGCCUAUGAGCCUUCACCCAGUCCCUGGGAUCCACUGGGAUUAACAUUUAUAAGUUGCAAAUACACAAAGAGCCAAGGGCCAAGGCUUUCCAAAUAGGUAUAAACUUGCUUUUCCUGUGAUAGUAAAUGAGGUAAUCUUAAUUAUCAUUAAGGAGACUAGAGAACACUCACUCAUUUUCAGCAUAUACUGCAAUUAAAUUCAAUUUCUUUAAAAACUGAGUUGAACCGGGUUUAUAAUCUGAAAAAUGCCUAAGAAAGUAUAUUUCUCAUAAUGAUAGGAGUACCUACUUUUCAUAUUGGUUGGUUAUUUAUGUGUGACAAUGUUAACUAUUUAAAAUACUGAAAAAUUAUUACAUUUAGUUCCCUUCUUAGAAAGACUGAGGGCUUUUUAAUUCUAAAGGCACUGUUACAUUAUAUUUGAAGAUUUAGUUUUAAGAACAUUCUAGUAUAAAUAACUGUAAGGUUGAAUGUCUUUGAACAUGGAGUAUAAUUUUUUAUUGCUAUGUACUUAUUUCCUACAAUGGAGGCUAAUCUCACUUCAUAUCAUUUUGUUUUUUUUUUAAAUUGAAGUAUAGAUGAUUUACAUUUUUAACUUCAUGAUUUUAAAAGAAAAUAAACAUUUUAAUGUAGAAUGAAUGGAUUUCUAUUUUUUCAGCUGUCUCUAUAAAUCAUAUGCCAAUAUCAAGAGAUUGCAGAAUUACUGAUAUAUAGAACAUUUAUGAAAGUUCAAUAUUCCUUUUCUUAAAGUCAUAGCUUAAAGUAAGUUUUCAGUGUUUGACCUCAAAGAAAAUUAAUCCAUCCUCAACUUGUGCAAUCCUUAGCCUUAGUAUAUUAAUUAUGGUUCUUCCUUUGUGGCUCUUAUAUUUACACUUCAAUUCAUAGCAAGAUAAUAUUUGAAAUGACACUACCAGUGCAACAAAGGUUAGCAUCUUCAUAUUUUAGUCAUAGAGACUUUGAUACAUUAUUAUAGUAGAUAAAAGCUGUAGAAAUAAAUACAUACUAUUUUAGAUGGCCUAAUAAGAAAGAAGAGAGAGAUUCAGUAUGGAAUACACUGACCAUUACCUGAGAUUCAUGAGUCACCUCUCUUCUUUAUUCAUUUUUAAGUAAAAAUAAGGAUCAACUGUCAAUUCACUAGCACAAGUAUUCAGACUGCAUUUCUUUAAAAAACGUUUUAAGCAAGAGUUUAGGGAAUGAAGUUUGGAGAACAUCUGGCCCAUCCACAUACAAAUAAAUAGUAGUAAAUACCUGACUUGGAGUUGCCAGAAUUGACCAUUUAUAUUCUAAGCAUGGCUCUUAAACUGAAAGACUCUAAAAUUUUUCUCUAGCUCUGAGCUGUUAAGACAGUUUCCCAGUGAUUAAAGAAAAAAAGAAAAAAGAAAGAAAAGAAAAGAAAAAGAAAGAAAAAAGCAGAAAUGCUACACCUUUCAGUAAAGGAUUUGAAGAAGGGGAUUUGGGAUGGAAAUGUUCUAAAAGUAGGUUGUGAUGACGGCUGACAACUAUAAAUAUAAUACAAGUCAUUGAAUUGAAAAAUACAUAGUUGGGUUUUUAAGCAUAAAUAUAAUUAAAUUAUUGGGGAAAUUUUCUAAAUUAUGAGCUACAUUGGAUCUUAAUAUCUUUGUAUCCUCAGAUCCUGAAACUAUCCAGGAUAGGUAGAAAAUCACUAAAUAUGAAUCGAAUGAAUUAUUUUACAAAUAAAAUAAAACUAUCAUUUAAACAUUUUUAGCAUCUUUGGUAUAAAGCUUGGCAUUAAUUCAAUGACAAUAACUCAGUUUAUUUUAUUUCAAUGAUCUAAAUCAUUGAACAUUAACAUUUUAUAGGUAAUUCAAAACAAUACAGUUAGGCACACUUGAAUGAAUCCUGUUUAUUAAUUCCAUAUUAAUUUGUUUUUUUGGUUAAAAUUCUAAGUAUGAAAUAUAUCAAAUAGGAUGCAAAUGUAAAUGAAUUGUUGAUGUGAAACAAACAGCUAAAAAUAGAAAUGUAUAACAGAAAUGUGAAUAGGUCUGAACAUCUGUCACUUAUAUUACUAACUAGAAAAAGUAUCUUUAAUUGAAUCCGGAGUUUAUUUGCAUUUAUUACAGACACUUGGAAAUUAGCUAUUGUUACUGUGGAUUGCUGCUGAACUUUUAAUGGGUCAGAUGCUAUGCCAGUUUUAAUAGGCAGUGUUUUUUGUCUAAAAGCAUGAAUGUGUGAAGAUUAAAACAAAAUGGAAAAGCGGACAGAUGUUCAGCUUGAAUAUUUCUAUCUUACAUUUAGUCUAUCUUGUGUUUUCAGGUUCUCUUUUCUCCUCAGAUGCUUCAAGAAGAGCUCUAACCAAGUCUUGAAAUGACAGUACAUCUUCACUGAGAUCUCUUUCUUGCAUUCUGCCUAUUUUUAUCCUCAAAUUACGUUAAAUGUUCAGAUCCAUUCCAGGACUACUAAAUAUAUAGAUAAGUAACACUAAUUUACUAAAAAAGAAUUGCUCCCUCUAGUGAUUUCACAACAUUACUUCACUUAUUGGCACUGUUGCACUGAGUAAUUUAAUAAAUGAUAUAAAUGAUGAUGACUAUUAAGUUGAUGAUAGUGGUCUGGCCUACUUCUGUGGUAUUACAUUUUAAUGUUUUCUGUGAACAUAGGGAAGUUACAUAACGAUUAUUAGAGUUGCUUGCUGGAUAUUUUAGAACACCAUUAAAAACCCUGCAUUGAAAAAAUAUUUUUUUUCUAAAACUAUUCAGAUUACUUUUGAAACACAUUUAGUGCCAAGUUAUUUGGGCUCUGACCAUGUUAACUUUAGUGAAGAGGAAGAAUUAGAGCAAUUGUCCUCCUAAAUUAUGGUGGAAAUAGGUUUAACUGGAAAUCUAAUUCUAGAUAUAAUGCCUCUCUUUGCUAUGGUUAUCAUAUACUUCGAAAAAUUAGACAUUUUUAACCUUAUUCCUCUCUACUAGUCAGAAAGGCUGUGCAACUAAUGAUGCAGAUAUAAAAUAUUUGAAAUUCUUUGUAGUUUUAUUUAAAUUUCUAUUAAAAUACCUGAAAAUAAAGUAAAAAUGGGGCUGCUAUGAAAGGAAGAGCAUUACUUAAUUCUCAAGUUGUUAAUGCAAGAGCUGGCCUUCAAAUAAUUCAUCUAUAAUCACAUGAAGGAGAAAUUAAAAUUGAGAAGUUGUCCAGGUAAUUACAUUUAUACAAGUAAUUAAUAAUAAAUGUGACAAUAAUAGUAGAGCAAGACAAAACGAAAUCAGGCAGGAGAUUCACUUUUCUUUCAAGGCAGGAUUCCAUUUUCUGGGGAAUAUGAAUUACCUGGAUAAUUAUUUCUGUACUCUACCCCUUUGCCUGAAGAGAGAAAGCCUUUUUACAGUGUAAUUUCAACUAAUAAAGCAGAUGGUAGGGGUUACCAAACCCAUCAAGCUAGUUUUUCUGUAUCAAUAAUAGAGUUACUCCAUCAAGUUUUACGUAGUUUUCACCAUCCAAGUGCUUAGCAAAUAUUAAUUCAUCAUUGCAGCAUUCCCACAAGAAGGUAGGGAUUUUUCAUAAAUAAAAUAUAAUAAAAUAUAUUCUAGAUUAAUUUAUUUGAAAGGACCUGUGAAAGACAAGCUCUAAGAAGUAAAUGAUUAUAUUAAUUAUGUGAAAGAAGGUAAUAUUGUUUUACGACUCACUCUCCCUUGAAGUCAUUUCAGGAGGAACUCGUGGGACUAAGAGGCCUGUCAGGGUUUUACAAAUUUUGCUUCCGCUCUCCUUCCCCAAGUGAAGGAACAAUUAGCAGCCUUUCCACCGAGACGUGAAUGAAUCCAGCCGCGCACACCCCUCGUCUGGCGAACCCGCGCGGCGGGCCCUGCCGGGGCUCCCGGGACCCCGGAGAGCAGAAGCCCCGCCCCCAAGGCCGGGACCAGCCUGCGCCCCCGCGGCCGCUCGCCGCCGGCCGAGGCGGGGAUUCCGGCCCCGGGAGCCCAGUUAGGUUAUGGAUUUGGGGAGAAUGACCACAGAGGUGAAGUGCCGUCUCAUCACAUCAUGUGAAAGAAGUAAUGGAUUUCCUCACUGCCCUCCCGUUCUCUUUGUGAACUACAACAUGCAUUUUCCAAGAAGUUGAGUGAAACUAAGAUCCGGUUGGUGGCCACUGAACAGAGCAAAGAACUGCACAAUAAAGUGUUUCCAACCUCUGGUGUGGCCUAUUUGAGGAGCUUUAAUAACAAGUCACUCAGAUGCACACUUUAGCUCCAAAAAAGCCAGCAUCUAGAACAGUUCUCCACACUUGGCCGAUGCUCUGUGAAUGUUAAAUGAGCAACUCGUCUCUGGAUUUAUCGGCCUGUCGUGCAGCAAGAAGAAUGAGUCCGAACUCAGUAACAAAUCUUGGUGAAGCUAGCCAGGAGCCUGCUGCCGCCCUGGUUGUGGAAUUUUGGGGUAAGGCCCUAGCAGCUGCUGGGACCACUUGUUCAGAGAAUCUUCCCUUUAAAGUUUCCUGAAGCAGCACCAGCUGCCCCAGCGCUUGGCAGUUAAGGAAUCGAUAGAUGGGAGUUGACAGGCUCAGUACGUAGCAUUGGAUCUCCAGGAAGCAAGUAACCCAGAGAGAGGUGAGCCCCCACUGGGGAAGGAACAAGGAGCUGACCGAAGGGGGAGAAAGUGCACUGGAAGAGAUUGCCCUGGGCUAAUGCAGAAGAAGAGCAACGACACAAGAGAGACGGGAGGCUCUCAUGGUAAGAAAGUGAAUGAAGAGGCCCAGGGACUUCCUUGGACUUGAGGCGCCCCAUUCCCACAGGAGUCCAGGGUGAAACUGACAGUGGGAAUGAGUCAAAGAAAAUGUACUGAACAAGGAAUUGUUUUGAGUCCUGAGGCCUCUUGGAUCACAGUCCUAACAGUACCCAUUACAGGAGAGGUGCCAUCUUACAGGACUCAAAAAUAACGUGAUGAAGCCUAACGUACAAAAGACCAUUAAGAGUGACUCAAAAUUGCAUGGUUUGUGCGAAAAUAACCCAAGGACUGAUGUGGGACAUCUCCAGAUGGGGACCCAGCACAGAGGAACCAGCCCCACAGAGGACUAGCAAAUAGACUUUACUCAAAUGCCUUGAGCUACAGAAAAUCUCAGGUGCCUGCUAGUGUUUGUGGACACUUUCAAGAGGGAAAGAAGCACAUCCCACCCAGACAAAGACACCCCUCCGAGGUGGUUAAAGCCCUCCUCAAGGAAAUUAUUAUGUAAUUUGGUUGACCUAACACCCCUUGGAGUGACAAAGGGCCUGCUUUGGUCUCCAGCAUGUGACUGAAACUUAGCCUCCGCCCACCCAUGUUGCAUAAGGAACGGGGAGACAGAGUUUGGGCCGAAGGAGGGAAAAAACAGCUCUACUGCUUUGCCAGGCAAAGGAGGGUCACAGCAGGCUAAUGCCCUAAAGGCCGUGCCCUCCUUUGGGAGAGAAGAGAAAAUGGUUUUAUAGUUGGGGAGUGGAAAACAGGGCCACAGAUGAGGAUCAGGGUAGAUGCGAGCUUGUAGGGUGUUCAGUGGCCCUGGGGCUGGUUCUGGGACCCUAUUUUCUUUCUGGAAUAAAGAAUGCUUCAUCAUAUCUCUCAUUUGUUGGGGGGUUUUAAUUCUGAAACAUGCAAAGAUAUUGUCAUGUAUCUUCCUUGAGGAGGCACCAGGACCCUGCCCCAAGGCUGCAUGCACUCCUGUCUCCUGGCUCUUCUUUCCUGGUCUCCGCAUCCCCUCCGUUCCCUGAUAAGCAACAGUCUGAAGCUGCCGUGUUGGAACUCUGGGAAGGUCGAGGAUGAUAAAUGAGGCCUCUUUGCUUAAAAACAAGAAACAGGGGAUAGGAAGGCUUUGGCGCCCAGGAGCCCCACAGGGUUCUGCUCAGUUUCAAGUAUAACCGAACAGGUAUCAUCCAAAGCAUUGCAAGCUUAUUGGAAACUAAAUUCAUCCUGGAGACCACAAUCAACGGGAAAAACAGAGAACAUGAAUCACACAUUAAAAAGGAGUGUUACUAAAAUAUAUUGAGAGAUUGAGUUAUUUGGAUAAGGCCUUGCCAGUUGUCCUGCUCUGGGGAUCAGAAGGGCUCCCAGAGGCAGGCCUAAAUUAAUUGCCCUUGAAAUAUGACAUGGUGCAAUAUUUCAUGGUGCAAUAUUGUAUUCAUGGUGCAACGCAAAAACCAUUACAAGUGUCUGCCUGGGCAGGAGACUUUGUAAAUGCUCUAAAAGACCUAGCAAUCACUGCCCAUCCAACUGAAGUAGCUUUUCAACAUUUCGCACUCAGAGACUGAGUCCUCCUUAAAACCUGGAGAAAACAAGGGCCUAAACAUCUGACUGCAAGGUGGACAGGACCACACAUGGCAUUCCUCACCAUGCGCUUUGUCAGGUUAACUGGCCUGAAACCAUGCAUUCAUCACACUUGGAUGAAAGCAGCACAAGGUCAUCAGAAAACAACCCAACUCCUGAGGGGCCUGGAGAGCCCUGGGUUUGUGAACCCUUAGAAGACUUAUGGUUGCUCUUUAAAAAAGAAGUAUUGAAAGUAGUUCCCAUUGUGGCUCAGCAGUCACGAACCCAACUCGUAUC